GCGCGCGGAACAAACAGUGGUCGUAGAAACUGACAAAAAUGUCAAGAAAUAACUUCGCGUAAUAUCGCGGAUUAUACAGAGAACGCAAACAAGUAACUAUGUAAUACAUUUGUCAAGAGAAAUGGAAUAACGUCCAAAGUUGACCGGCUAGCAUGUGCUAAAACUACAAACGCUAGCCGGUUAGCAUUUGUAUUUGACGAUUAAACCCAUUUAUUGUCCGUUUAGCAAUAAGUCACACCAUUGAGAUCCUAGGAUGAUGCGCGUUUACUUACGCAGUCAAAAGAAAUGUAUAUAAACUUCAUCAGGUUGUGUGAAAUAAAUAACGGAGUACAAAAGGCACGGGUGAUGUGGGUUAUGGUAAUGAACUGAGGACGCGGGACAACAAAACCCAAAGAAAGAAACACACACAGGUUUGGAACAACAUGAGGGAAACCCACCCCAAGUUGAGAAAGCUUUUCCUGCCAAGUAGAUGAGUUGACAGUCAGUGGUUUCCGAGGCACUGUCUCAAAAGCCCUUCUCCUAUCAAGGGGGGCCAUCUGGAGUUAUCCAACCAAUCAGAGUCCAGCAGAGUGAUCAAGUGAAACGAGUAGGAAGUCAGCAUGGCUCAUACCACCCCCUGCCAAGGUUCAUCUGUGCUCAUUUCCUGUACAUCCUCGGGGUUUGCUGUGUCCAAUCCACAGGAAACGGUGGACGCCUUAUGCACACAGUUUAACAGCUAUUAAAAAACAAACUGUCGAAGCAAACAAGUAAAUGUUUUAGUUAUGUUAUCAUUUGCAUUCUUGGAAAAUCAGUUUUGUUAAAGAUUGUGCAUUAUAACUGUAUACGUAUAUAAAUAAGAACACACACACACACA